CCGAAAAUGUWGGUUUAAAUCCUUCCUGUACUA
rnacentral:tRNA from 1 species